rnacentral:rRNA from 1 species
GAUGAACGCUGGCGGCGUGCCUAAUACAUGCAAGUCGAGCGAACGGACGAGGAGCUUGCUUCUCUGAUGUUAGCGGCGGACGGGUGAGUAACACGUGGAUAACCUACCUAUAAGACUGGGAUAACUUCGGGAAACCGGAGCUAAUACCGGAUAAUAUAUUGAACCGCAUGGUUCAAAAGUGAAAGACGGUUUUGCUGUCACUUAUAGAUGGAUCCGCGCUGCAUUAGCUAGUUGGUAAGGUAACGGCUUACCAAGGCGACGAUGCGUAGCCGACCUGAGAGGGUGAUCGGCCACACUGGAACUGAGACACGGUCCAGACUCCUACGGGAGGCAGCAGUAGGGAAUCUUCCGCAAUGGGCGAAAGCCUGACGGAGCAACGCCGCGUGAGUGAUGAAGGUCUUCGGAUCGUAAAACUCUGUUAUUAGGGAAGAACAAAUGUGUAAGUAACUGUGCACGUCUUGACGGUACCUAAUCAGAAAGCCACGGCUAACUACGUG